rnacentral:rRNA from 1 species
UACGUAGGGCGCAAGCGUUGUCCGGAAUUAUUGGGCGUAAAGAGCUCGUAGGCGGCCUGUUGCGUCCGCUGUGAAAUCCCGGGGCUCAACCCCGGGCCUGCAGUGGAUACGGGCUGGCUGGAGGCAGGCAGGGGAGAACGGAAUUCAUGGUGUAGCGGUGAAAUGCGCAGAUAUCAGGAGGAACACCGGUGGCGAAGGCGGUUCUCUGGGCCUGUUCUGACGCUGAGGAGCGAAAGCGUGGGGAGCGAACAGG